rnacentral:lncRNA from 13 species
CGCGAGCGAGUUCGAGCGUGUUUCGAGAGUUUCGUGGAGUGUGGGAAGUGAAGUAAAUUGUCGGGCGUUCGUGCCAACAUUCGUCGUCAGUCGGAUGUAAUGUCGUAUUGUGCAAAGUUGCGUCGCGUUUAACCGUGUUUUGCAUCUUCUUCGCUGCUUGAUAUCUUGAGUUUCUGAUGCAGAAAGAAGAUUAUUGCAAGGAGCAAGUGCAAAUCUUGCAAAGAAAAUAACGCAGCGGAUGCGUGGUGGAUCGUCUCCGAAUCGAAUGGCAUCGCGGAUCAUUUAGUUGAACGUCGCAAUGCUGAGGGGGAUCGGUUCGGGGAUGGAUCGCGAUGUUUAAAACGGUGGCGGACACGGAACGGAUCGGCUCCGGAACGAGUGGCAUUGCGGAUCCUUUAAACGGAACACAACGCAGACCAGAGCGUGGGAACAAAUGGCGUCACAUACUGACUUCAGAUUUUUGUAAAUGAUUAGUCUGCCCAUGAUUUUGGUCGCAAGUGUUUUUCGUGCAAGAGGAGAAGAAGGAAGAGGUCUGAUGAUCUAAAUAUAUUUUGAGAGGAGGAGGAGGCCUGGGAGAGAAGGCAUCAGGCCCCAGCGGAGCAACUUUGGGUAUCGUCGCAGCGUCGUGGCUGAUUAACUCCGCUCGUUGCGCAUCAGGACGGUGCGUGUGGCAGAUACAAUAGGCUGACAUCAGAGAAGGUCGAGGUCCGGAGAGCAGCACAAGAGUACGUCGGGCCGAGAUCACGUUCAGACGCAGCACGAGCGCUCGUGCACUCGCAAUUUUUUUCCAAAAGGAUACUUCAUCAAACGCCAAAGCCACGCAGACGUUAUUAAGAGGAAGUGUUUAGUGCAAUCUUCACUCAAUAUCUAACAGCAUA